UACUUCCAGCUUAGGAAGAAAAAUAAUAUUAAUGGGUACAGGCUGAGUGGAUAAUUGCAUACAUUGGAGAAGAAUGAAUAUACAACUGAUGCUGUAGCUUACCUCACAUCAAUUACCCCAAAGAGUUGCUUUACUUCUUUUUUCAAAAAAUAUAUUAAAUAAUUUAUAUCAGGGGGUAUCAUUAUGGCCUUGAAAUUAUCCCUAUUGUAUGAAAAGCUCAGUAACUUACAUGUAUAAACAACACAUGUUCGUAUAAGAAAACCAGACCAAGUUAAAAAAAAUGUGUGUAGGUGUAAAUGAGAUUAUUUAAGGGGGUCACUUAGCUAAAGUGGCAACUGAAUUGCAAUAUAACAUGAAUAAGGGCAUUACUAAAAUGUAGGGAAUUGGAUUUCUUUUCUUAUUAAGUGGGACCUGUCUUUCUUUUUCUAAUCAAGGGAACCCUGGGAGAGUACCAAAUUUCUAGAGGAUAUUGCUUUUUGACCUUACUAUCUUGAGAGUAUCUUCUUUAUGCUAUAUGUAUUGUUAUUUUUACUUUAUACUUGAUGUUAUCAUGAUAAAACUGAGACAUUAAAAUGCUUAUACACAAACAUUUCAGAUCUAAAGUGCCAGGGUAACAUAAUAAUUACUAUUAACCUGCUUAUUCCAUAUAAAAAUGAUAUUGGUACCCACAAGACAAUAUUUCAACUUUGAUCUAUCCUAAACAUAACUCUACUUCUGGACUUAUUAGUUGUAUUAGAUCACAGAGAUUAGAAGAAAGCCAUAGAACUGGGGGCUUUGUUCAUGUCUAGGGCAGUGAUGGGGAACAUUUUAGAGAUGUACCCAAAUUGCAACCCAUAUACUGACUUAUAAAUAUACUGACUUAUUUAUCACAGAGUGCCAGCAAUGCAAUCAAAUAAGAUUUUAAUUUAGAAAAAAAUAUAUUAACAGAUUGUCUUAAAAUAAAUAACAUGCAUAUCAUGGGUUUUCCACCACUGGUCUAAGAAAUUAGAAAGUUAAUCUGCCACGCAGGGUAAUUUUUUCUCUUAAAUAGAAAAUUUUCUCAUCCAACCUAAUUUUAAAGACUUUUCUUGUCCCCUUCGAUAACUCACAUGGAAAAGAAAUUUAGGGGAAGAAAUCAUUUUGGUGCUUUGCCUUUCAUGGUGUGAUUUUAUACACAGGCUUUCACUGGAUCCUCAAGAGAUUUUUUCAAGCCAGGUACGGUAAUUCUUACCGCUCCAUUCUACAGAUGAGGAAACUGAAGGCUUGUUGCAGUAUAACUGUGUUAAAGGUUAGAGGCUAAUACAUUCAGGAGCCAAGACUUGAGCCAAAAUUCUAUGGCCCUUCUUAAGGGGUAUGUGGUGUUUGCUUUUCUCUCAUUGCUGAGACAAAACAUCUGAUGCUCAAAGUUAGGGAAGGAAAGAUUUAUAUAGCCCACAGUUUGUCUAUAGUCUGCUGGGUCCAAGACCAGGUGGUGUGGCAGAGGGCAACAGUUCAUAGCAGCCAGAAGACAACAAAAUUAGCAAGAGCAAAAAAGAAAAAGCAUGAGAGAAGACUCUUUCUGUCCCUUAUACUGUAUGUAGGCUACCUGCCCUGGGGUGAGUAUAGCACUCACACCCAUAAUCCCAGCAUUGGAUCAUGAAUCAAUCUCAAACUCUAGAAGCCUGUCCCCAUGACUGUGUGAGGCUUUGGGGGGAUAUCCAGACACAAACCAUAACAAAUUAUGACAACUUGUUUCCAAUUAGCUGGCUUAUCAGGCUCUUGUAACUGUUCUUACCUGGGUAGCAUUUCCUCCCUGAAACAUUAGAGAUUGCUUGAAGACACUUUUUGUUGUUAAGACCACUAUGUGUAUUGGGGUGGGGGUAGUCUGUUGGGAGCCGUGGCACUGUCAAGUCAUCAGACGCGGUGAUUGCGAGGCCUGUGGGAAAGUACAAAAGCCUGAGCUAGAUUACCCCUCUCAUCGAGCCCGCCUGUGUGGCACCUGUUUCUUAUCACCCCACUAAGUUCCCGCCUCACAGGGUAGUCUGCCUAGCUAUUAAUCCUAUAUAUGACUGAAGCACGGAGGGAGCCGCGGAGAGCGGACCGGUAGAGGCUUCGGAGCGAAGCACGGAGGGAGCCGCGGGGAGCGGACCAGAGGAGGCUUCGGCUGGGAGCGAUCCCAGGGCAGGCUGUACGGAGAGAAAAUAAAAGAAAAGGUUGUCCACUGCCAGACUUUGUCGUGUGUCCUUCCUGCCGGCCGGGAGCGACAUCGACAUUUGGUGGCCCGCACGGGGAUUGAUCAACCCCGAGACGCGGCGGUGGACUGCAUUCUCCUACACAGUGCUGCAGCUGCAGGACAGGAAUCGGGACGAGAGCCAAUGUGGGUCCCAGAGAGGUUGACGCGACAAGUCCCUCGACUGAAGAUCAGGCCUGUUCCACCAGAGGCCAACCGCAGACCCAACAACAAGAUGAGCCCUAAAAGAACUGCAGGACAAUCCCUUUUUGGGGGCCUGGAACGGCUUGCUCCCCUAUGUGCUACCCUUGUAUACGCAUGGCUCGCUCACAUGGCCUACGACCGCGUUUAAAAGUGACAGGCUUCCCACAUUCUCCUCCCUAGACAACAACAUGUAGCAGGGUGGGUGAGUCAAUGACGGGUAAGAGCGUGCCUCCCCAGCACGACUCAACCUAAGCCAGGCCCUACCCCGUUCCGCUCGAAAGCCGCUGGAUUGUUAGAUAAAUUUCUCUCCGAGGGGAUUCGUGGAGAGAAAUGAGUGCAUGCCUAUGUGCAACCAGGUUCCGUCCGGUUCAUUCCUGGCCCUAGAAAAAAGGACGAGGGCCUCAGGGCCUUGGUGGACCCUGGGACGGCCGACCAGGGUCUACGCUAAGGGCCUACGGUGGGCCUCAGUUCGGGGCAUAGGCCUCUGCACUCUAUCCAGGACGGGCUGCGAUGCGCGUAGCCAUCAUUUAAAAUAAAAUAGGGGGAGAUGUUGGGAGCCGUGGCACUGUCAAGUCAUCAGACGCGGUGAUUGCGAGGCCUGUGGGAAAGUACAAAAGCCUGAGCUAGAUUACCCCUCUCAUCGAGCCCGCCUGUGUGGCACCUGUUUCUUAUCACCCCACUAAGUUCCCGCCUCACAGGGUAGUCUGCCUAGCUAUUAAUCCUAUAUAUGACUGAAGCACGGAGGGAGCCGCGGAGAGCAGACCGGUAGAGGCUUCGGAGCGAAGCACGGAGGGAGCCGCGGGGAGCGGACCAGAGGAGGCUUCGGCUGGGAGCGAUCCCAGGGCAGGCUGUACGGAGAGAAAAUAAAAGAAAAGGUUGUCCACUGCCA